UGAAUUUGUUUACAUGCUAAACACAAACAUUUUUAAACUUUUCUAAAUUGCGAAUUUAAAUCAAGCCGGGUUUCGUUUAUGUUUUUUAAUAGUUUAUUUGUUGUUAACAAAAUAUCAAUAGGGUCGGAAAGUCUCGUCAUGUGACUCGCGAGAAAUAACGUGAAAUCGUACUUCCGGGCAGUUGUCAGGAUGGCAUUAUCAAUAAUGUACUAGACUCGCUACGUUCAAAACCACAUAGACCUUACUACAAAAAGCGAGAGAGCGAUGGAUAACAACUGGGUUUAGAAAAUGUGUUCUAAAUAGAGCUCUGAGUUAUUACAGCGGUUGUUCAAGCGUCAAUACGAGACAUUUUCCAACAAAGUACAGAUAUAAAAGGGCAAACAACAUAGCUGGAUAAAGCAUCCUAAGUCUGCACCUCGUAAAGCUAUGACAAUGAGAGAAAUGUAUUCACCCAGGCAAUCAGAAUAUAGAGUGCAACCCGGAAGGUGC